UAAGGUGCUGAACUUUUGUUGUGUGCCUCCAAUUCUUCAACUAUUCUAUAAAAUACAACAUAAUACUAGUCUUACUCUGCACACAAUACAUGAGAACAACGUGGAUGGCAUAAUCUCAUGCAGAAGAAUCAAUUGAGGGCUGCCUGAAUCACUUUUCAGAAUCAAAUUGAAGGCUGAAUGCUGAAGAAAGCUGUGGUGAUGUGUUUGCAUUAGAUAUCUUAGAGAAACAAGCUACUGCGAAAGCUCAAAAAAUUUCAGGACUAACGACUAAGGAUUUCUACGAAACCAGAGUUUGCAAGUCUUUCUCCACGUCGAUUAUCAAUGUUUGUGUUCCCAAAACCAGCCCAUGAGCCCAAUACCAGUUCUCUUGAUGCUGCGGAUGAUGCUGAACUACUCUUGAGUCUUUCAAUCUUUGGGUUCAGCCAACUCUCUGUUUCUGAUCAACACGAGAAGACGAAAGAAAUCUAUAAAAAAAGUAGUUGAAGAUGUUGUAGUGGAGCAACUCUCGGACGAAAUUAAAGAGGAUUUCAGACCCAGAAUAUUCACCGAGCUAUUCAAGAAACUUCCCUUCCCUGACCAGAACCAUUUCCUGACCACAGUUAUAAAGAAAUUCAAGCGCCAGAGGCAAAUUAGCUAGUUGAUUUCUUGGUGUACUACCGAACUAGACGCCAAUGAUCAACAAUAACUGAUUGGAAAAUUGAUUCAUGUCAAAGCAGAUGACGAAACCAAUGACGGUUUCAGGCUGAGAAGAUUUACUCAGCUUUGUAAGGAUUAUACUGACUAUGUUUAUAUGCAUUUUGUGGCCUGCAGGGAAGAAUAUGGCACGAAACCAAAACAUACACAGCAGACAUCCGGUACUCAUGAAGAUGGGUUAGAUUGGCAGUCCCGUUUUAAUGAGUUUUUCUUGGGUUUCUCAAUUAUAUGGUUCAAGGGACAAAGUUCCCAUGGUCAAUGGCAGCUGAUUGACCAACUUUGUGAUGGAGUUAAAGGUGUUGUGGUUGAGAAUCUCGCAGACGAAAGCGACGCAGAUUUCAAACUCAGAAGAUUCACAGAGCUGUGUAAGAAAGUGGUUGACUUUGGUGUCCAAGUCCAUUUCCUUGAUAAAGCUGAAGAGCAGCUGCUGCACAAACGAAGAGAUCUUCCUCACGGGGUGCUCGUUCAGCCCCAAGAUUCUGCCAGUGCUGCCGAAUUACCCUCGCAGCUUUUGAGUUUUGGAUUCAGCCUGUUGGCGUGACUUGUGGAUAUUGACUUACUUUCCUUACAAACCAAACCAUAAAGUAUCUCUAUGAUUGUGUUGAAAAUUUUGAAAGGAUUGUUUUUGCUCUAUCGUGAUGCAAACUAUGAAGUGGUACGUUAAUCAAGUUGUACUAAUGUUUUGGCUUGAGGAUACUAGCUUCAUCCUUCUUCUUCUUUUUUUUUUAUUUUUUUUUUAAUAAAGGAUAUUUCCUAUUGAAAGUGGCGAUAGCAAACUAAACUCAUACACACUAUAUGGAUGUUAGGACUUGAACCAGGGGAGCAAUUACUCCAAAUCACUACAUUAGUGGGUCCUUUGCGCUUCAUCCUUCUUUUUAGGAAUAUGAGGUACUAUUAGGCCCAAAAGGGAUAUGACGCACUAUUAGGCCUAAAAGCCAUUGCCAAAUAAUUAUACAAAACCUGCUAAUUAAAGUAAAUAUAUGACAACCAAGACCUAAUACAAGUAAUAAUUGUUCCAAUUGAA